rnacentral:rRNA from 1 species
GCAUGGGAUCGAUUUAGCCAUGCUAGUCGCACGGGUUCAUGACUCGUGGCAUAUAGCUCAGUAACACGUGGCCAAACUACCCUACAGACCGCAAUAACCUCGGGAAACUGAGGCCAAUAGCGGAUAUAACUCUCAGGCUGGAGUGCCGAGAGUUAGAAACGUUCCGGCGCUGUAGGAUGUGGCUGCGGCCGAUUAGGUAGAUGGUGGGGUAACGGCCCACCAUGCCGAUAAUCGGUACAGGUUGUGAGAGCAAGAGCCUGGAGACGGUAUCUGAGACAAGAUACCGGGCCCUACGGGGCGCAGCAGGCGCGAAACCUUUACACUGCACGACAGUGCGAUAGGGGGACUCCGAGUGUGAGGGCAUAUAGCCCUCGCUUUUCUGUACCGUAAGGUGGUACAGGAACAAGGACUGGGCAAGACCGGUGCCAGCCGCCGCGGUAAUACCGGCAGUCCAAGUGAUGGCCGAUAUUAUUGGGCCUAAAGCGUCCGUAGCUUGCUGUGUAAGUCCAUUGGGAAAUCGACCAGCUCAACUGGUCGGCGUCCGGUGGAAACUACACAGCUUGGGGCCGAAAGACUCGACGGGUACGUCCGGGGUAGGAGUGAAAUCCUGUAAUCCUGGACGGACCACCAAUGGGGAAACCACGUUGAGAGACCGGACCCGACAGUGAGGGACGAAAGCUAGGGUCUCGAACCGGAUUAG